AUGCCGCACAGCGAGGCGUCCGCCCCGGGGUCUGCGGUAGUAGCAGAGGACCCAGUGUGCCCGGGGGUCAGCGGCACCACCAGCACGUGGCACCCCUGGGGCCGGGAACCCCUGGGACCCUGCCACCCCCAGCCCUUGUGCACCCCCACCCCACGCCUGCCUCUAUUGCACCAAGCACUCCCCACAGCACCCAGCUCUGCGGGCACCCCCAGCAUCCCUAGCAGCCCAGCCCUGCCAGCACACCUUGUCUCGUGGUACCGCUGGCCCCGUGGGCAUUUCCAUCCACCCCAGUGCUUCCAGCACCCUUGGUCAUGUGGGAAAGCCCAGUGCUCCCCAUCAGCCCCAGCCCUCCCAGUGUUCCCAGCAUUCCCAGUGCUCCCAGCACCCCAGACCCCUCGAUCCAGCCCUGAGUGUCACCCCACGCUGCCCAGCACCCCCAGUACCGACAGGGAACCAGAGCCCAGUGCCACGCAGAUGGGCAUUGAGAGCCUUGCGGGUGACGCCGGGCUCCACCGCCACCGAGAAGUCCUCAACGCUCAGCUCCGAGAUGGCGGCCAUGCGACUCAGGUCGAAGCAGACACCGCCCUGGCACAGCACAGCAUGGCACGGGCAGCAGCAGGCGGUGGGGGUGUUGGGGGGGCUGGGGGCUGCGUACCUGCACGGCGUUGACACCGCCCUCCAGGCCGGUGCCAGUACCAAAGGGCACCAUCGGCACGCGGUGCUGGUAGCAGAGGGCCACCAUCUCCUGCAGCUGCUCCACGUCUCGGGGCCACACCACGGCGUCGGGGGGUGCGCACCUGGUGUGGGGCACAGCGCUCAUCGCCGGCCCCAAGGCGCAGCACGGCCCCACGGUGCUGCCCCCAGCCCCACCUGUGCAUGGACUCAUCGUGCCCGUGCUGCUGCCGCACCGCUUCCGCCACCGAGACGUUGGGAUCCCCCGCCACGGAGCGCAGGGCCUGCAGCAGGCCAGGGGGCAGCGGGUGCUGCGGGAGGGGGUCCUGUCAGCAAGUGGUCAGGGUCAGCGUGUGACCCCUCACAGCCCCCGUCACACCCACCUGGCUGCAGCACCCGCGCCGUCCCACGGCCCACACCAGCUGCAGCGCGUGCCGCAGGGCCAUGUUGGGCCUGGAGCUGUGCCCGGGGCUGCGCAUGGCUCCGUGUUCCCCAGUCCCCUCCCGCCCAGCGUUAAGGUGGCUCCAGGCACUGAACAGAGGCCUGCACAGCGUUAUCUGACCGCAGCCACACGGCCCUGCCCUGCGCGUCGGGGUCAGAGAGCAGCGCUGCUCGCCUGGUGGGCCCCACAACAUUACAGCCAGCUGUCCACACAGCAGGCACAUCCCCACGUCUCCUCUCACAUAGCUGUUCCUGUGCCCAACCUGGUGUCUCCAUGCCCAGCCGGCCAAAGACCCACACCCACCCAGGUGUCCCCACACCUCCGUUGGUAUCCCCAUAUCCACCCACAUGUCCUGCUUCAGGCCAGCCAUGCACAGCCCAGGGCUGCAGCAAGGACACAAAGACAUCUUAGGGGAGAGGAACUUUAUUUGGGACUCAGUUGGCCGCCAGCACGGAGUCGAUCCAUUCGCGGAGCUCGGUGACACGAGCGUAGACAGCGGGCACAGAGGUGGAGCAGGUGCUGCUGCCCCACGAGACGAUGCCCACCAGCGUCCAGGCGCCGUCCUUCUGGCACACCAGCGGGCCCCCGGAGUCACCCUGCGGGCAGAGGGGUGAGGAUGCGGCUGCGGAGCCGGGGGGGCCGCGGGCACGGGGAGCCGGGGGUUUGGGGCUGCGCUUUGGGGCAGGGGCACCCACCGAGCAGGAGGAGGCUCCAUCGGCCCCGGCGCACACCAUCACGUCGUAGAUGCGGAAGCCCCAGUACUGCUUGCACUGCGCGUUGGUGAGCAGGGGAAGGGCCGCUUGCUGCAGGAUGGCCGGCGUGUUUGCAUCUGUCGGAGAGCGGGAGGCAUCCAUCAGUGCCGGCUCAGCCCGGGGCUGGGGGUAAAGACGGGGAGGGGGCCACGGCCACGGUACCGUUGGCGUUGAGGAGCCCCCAGCCCGUGGUGACGCAGGUCAGGCCCCCGGGGAAGUCGUCGGUGGCCUGGGGCAGGCAGACGGGCGCCACGCGGGCGUUCAGCUGCGCUGGGGUGGCCAGCUUGAUCAGCGCGAUGUCGUUGCGGAUGGUCAGCGCGCUGUAGUUGGGGUUCCGGAAGACCUGCGGCAGCGGCAGCACUGACAGCGCCCGCACCCCGAGUGGGGCACUGCGUGCUGGGGGAUGCAUGGGGACCCACUGUGCUCACAGCUGCCCUGGGGGUGGGGACCACAAAGCCAGCGCUGGAGGGGACCCCAGGACCCAGGCAGGGAUCCCAUCAGCACGGGGACUGAUGGGGGCCCGCUGGGCAGAGCUCCAUCCUUGCGGAACCGGGGAUGGCACUGGGACCCAAACCCGAGGGCCCAGAGGGACCCAGCACCACGAAGAAGGACUCUGUGGGGAUGCGAGUCCUCAUACAAAGGGGAAUGAGGACCAUGAGAGGACCCAACCCCGUGGACGUGGGGCACCCAUCCCUGCAGCGCCGCCAGCACUGAGCUCGGCACCUGCAGGCACGCGGCCCAACGCUGGCAGUACCUUGGCGACGCCCAACCUCUGCACAUCACUGGAGGCCGUCUCCUGGUCGUACUCGCCCAGCACCACGGUGUCGGUGGUCCUGGGCAGGGCAGGCGCUGAGCCCCGGGAACACGGACAGCCCCGGUUCCGCGUCCGCCCCAAGGCUGCCCCACGCUUACCUGACCCCACAGUGGGCAGCGGUGACCACCCAUUCCUCGCUGAUCAGCGACCCACCACAGAAGUGGAAGUUGCCAUAGCGCUGCCGGAGAGAGCGGCUGUCAGCCCCACAACCGUGUGGGCCCUUCCCCAUCUCCAUUCCUAGCCCCUUCCCCAUCCCCAUCCCCUUCCCCAUCCCCAUCUCCUUCCCUAUCCCCAUCCCCAUCCCCAUCCCCAUCCCCAUCCCCAUCAUCGCCACCCAUUCUGGUGGGCGCUCACCUGCAGGGGACACCUGCCAGGGCCAGGACCCGGGGCACCGCCGGCUCCCCGUUGACGAUGCGGUUGUAGCCGCGGAUGACGGGCGUGAUGGCAGGCACGCCGCAGCCUGCGGGACAGGGACAACCGUGGGGCCUCGGCCACCUCAGCCCCGCACCCCAANNNNNNNNNNNNNNNNNNNNNNNNNNNNNNNNNNNNNNNNNNNNNNNNNNNNNNNNNNNNNNNNNNNNNNNNNNNNNNNNNNNNNNNNNNNNNNNNNNNNAAAAAAAAAAAGUAUUUUCCUUUCCAAGGUAAUCUGCUGUGUGCCAAAUCAGGUGGCAAAUUUGGGUGUCUGCAGGGUGCAUCUCACCCUGCUGCUGUGCUGAAAGCCCAGGUGUGCUGGAACCCUUUUUGAAUGAAUGUAACCAGGCGUUUUCCCGAUUCUCUCAAAAAUGGAAAUCCACGAGAACCGGUGAGCGAUUCACAGGAGCAAAUGUGGCUGCUGCAGGCAGCACCCGAGGAGGCCCUGAGCGCUGCAGAAGCCCCGUGGAGCUGCAGCUGCAGGAAGCUCUGUGCCUGGGGCCUCUCGUGCUGCUGCGCAGCGUUUCCGUGGGCAGAGCCCGGCCACCCGUGUUUCCUGCCUGCAGGGAGGGGAGCGUUCCUUCUGCUGCGUUCCAGCACUGGCUCAGGAGAAAAUUUGAGAG
rnacentral:lncRNA from 1 species